UUGUGGUGUUUGUGUGUUCGUUAUGGUAAUUUCAUGCCAGCAUUAUUUUAAACUGGGAUGCCUGGUGAAGAAGCGAUCGUUCAGGCGUGCUGAGAUUCCUGAGUUUGCGGAUGCAGUACCGUGACUUCCCAGCAGGUGGAGAGAGAAGCACGCAGUGAAGGAAAGUCCAGCUUGAGUAAGGGAGAAGAGAAAAACGCGGCUCUGUUUGUGUUUACGGACUGCCUCUGUUGCCGUGGAGCCGGUUGUGUCCGAUCACCACGGAGACCAGAAGCCGAAGCACCUUCCCCAGGUACAUCGCAGGCUCUGCUUUGGAGGAGAUUUAAGAGCAGACUGCAGCCUGCAGGGCAGGAUUUGGCACCAGGGCUCGUUGGUAAAGUUCAGGACAUUUCGGACGGAGAACAGGACUAAUGACCAGCUCUAGAGUGGGAGGAAACGUUUUCUGUCAGCAUCGGAGGCAGACGGUUUCCUGCAGAAACCAGCGCUUAGCCGUUAGCCUCUCUGACUGUACCUGGCUGAAAGGAGUCUGCUGUGUUUCAGUUUUAGGUAAAGGCCACACCCAUCUUACCUGUCUGAGCACACCUGGCAUCAUCAGACCUUGCACGAGUUCAAAGGGAGCUUUUGCCCACCCCGCUGUGGGUGGAGCUACAAUGGCCUGCCAAUCAGGGCUGUGAAUACCAUUGCCUCAUUUCAACCGUUCAGACAUUUCAAUUAUUCCAUUACACAACACAGACCUAAAUGAUUUGUCAGCGAGCCGUAACAAGGUCACCUGUCGUUUCACCCAUUUUCGGGAAUUGCGGGCGCUAACCCGGUAGCGAUCCUCGCUCGGGAACGCCGCAGUCCCUUCCUGUGUGAAAAAAGCUUGUAAGCAUCCAGCUGCACCCGCCCCCUCCCCCACUAGUUUGCGGAAAUUUGCUGUCUUUGCUCUUAAUUGCUCUUUUGAAGUUGUUGUUCAGGAAGAGGAGAUGUCGAUUCCAACCCGGUGAGCCAGGGGGUGAAUGUUGCCAGGGUAACCGUUUUUAAAUAAACUCCAACCGCGAUCUGCCCAUCUUUCGGUACCUUCUGGCUCCCGCACUUUCUGCUACCAAGACCUGCUACUGAAUACAUGUUCUGCUGCCUGCCCCUAAUUAACACUGAGCCAAAUGUAUGUUCAGUGUUAUUUAAUCAAUAUUAUGUCAGAACAGCUGGAUGUACAUUGAACUGGUGUACUGCAUAGAACCCUAACAAGGUAAAACUGAAAAUCAUUUCUGUCCGGCUCAGCACCUCUUACAGAAGUACCCCUCUUGGGGUUACAGCGACCAGUUAAAGAAAGAGGUGUAUUAAGUUUGGGUUUAAGUUAGCAGCUUUGUUGGCUUAUUACCUACACAGGCUGGAAAACAUUUAUGAUGCAGUAUUUGCACACAUAACCGCACAGCUCCAAUUUGUGGAGCCACUUGGCAGCGGAUAUCCGAGUCUUCCAGAGACUUUGGAAAGAUCUGGAGACUUGUGAAAGAUUCUGAGACUUGUGAAAGAUUCUGAGACUUGUGAAAGAUCCUGAGACUUGUGAAAGAUCUGGAGACUUGGGAAAGAUCUGGAGACUUGUGAAAGAUCCGGGGAGACUUGUGAAAGAUUUGAGAACUUGUGAAAGAUUGGGGCUCUGUAAACAGUGAGCCUGUCCAACCCGUGGGAUGGAGUGUGGUUAUCUGUGAAAUAUCUUCACGGUAAAAAACCCAUCAAACUGUGUUUGUGUCCGAGUGCUA